rnacentral:rRNA from 1 species
GAGAAGAGCUUGCUCUUCGAUUCAGCGGCGGACGGGUGAGUAAUGCCUAGGAAUCUGCCUGGUAGUGGGGGACAACGUUUCGAAAGGAACGCUAAUACCGCAUACGUCCUACGGGAGAAAGCAGGGGACCUUCGGGCCUUGCGCUAUCAGAUGAGCCUAGGUCGGAUUAGCUAGUUGGUGAGGUAAUGGCUCACCAAGGCGACGAUCCGUAACUGGUCUGAGAGGAUGAUCAGUCACACUGGAACUGAGACACGGUCCAGACUCCUACGGGAGGCAGCAGUGGGGAAUAUUGGACAAUGGGCGAAAGCCUGAUCCAGCCAUGCCGCGUGUGUGAAGAAGGUCUUCGGAUUGUAAAGCACUUUAAGUUGGGAGGAAGGGCAGUAAGCGAAUACCUUGCUGUUUUGACGUUACCGACAGAAUAAGCACCGGCUAACUCUGUGCCAGCAGCCGCGGUAAUACAGAGGGUGCAAGCGUUAAUCGGAAUUACUGGGCGUAAAGCGCGCGUAGGUGGUUUGUUAAGUUGGAUGUGAAAG